GUGGGCGUAGCUCAGUUGGCAGAGUGCAGGAUUGUGAUUCCUGUUGUCGCGGGUUCGACCCCCGUCGCUCACCCCA
rnacentral:tRNA from 1 species